AACGAACGCUGGCGGCAUGCCUAACACAUGCAAGUCGAACGAGACCUUCGGGUCUAGUGGCGCACGGGUGCGUAACACGUGGGAAUCUGCCCUUCGGUUCGGAAUAACAGUUAGAAAUGACUGCUAAUACCGGAUGAUGACGUAAGUCCAAAGAUUUAUCGCCGAAGGAUGAGCCCGCGUAGGAUUAGGUAGUUGGUGGGGUAAUGGCCUACCAAGCCGACGAUCCUUAGCUGGUCUGAGAGGAUGAUCAGCCACACUGGGACUGAGACACGGCCCAGACUCCUACGGGAGGCAGCAGUGGGGAAUAUUGGACAAUGGGCGCAAGCCUGAUCCAGCAAUGCCGCGUGAGUGAUGAAGGCCUUAGGGUUGUAAAGCUCUUUUACCAGGGAUGAUAAUGACAGUACCUGGAGAAUAAGCUCCGGCUAACUCCGUGCCAGCCGCCGCAGUAA
rnacentral:rRNA from 1 species